UACAGAGGUCUCAACCGUUGUUCGGAUUCAUUGGGCGUAAAGGGUGCGUAGGCGGUCGUGCAAGUCGGAUGUGAAAUCUCAGGGCUCAACCCUGAAACUGCAUUCGAUACUGCGUGGCUAGAGUGCUGGAGAGGAGACUGGAAUUUACGGUGUAGCAGUGAAAUGCGUAGAUAUCGGAAGGAAGACCAGUGGCGAAGGCGAGUCUCUGGACAGCAACUGACGCUGAGGCACGAAGGCCAGGGGAGCAAACGGG
rnacentral:rRNA from 1 species